GGUUAAGCGACUAAGCGUACACGGUGGAUGCCCUGGCAGUCAGAGGCGAUGAAGGACGUGCUAAUCUGCGAUAAGCGUCGGUAAGGUGAUAUGAACCGUUAUAACCGGCGAUUUCCGAAUGGGGAAACCCAGUGUGUUUCGACACACUAUCAUUAACUGAAUCCAUAGGUUAAUGAGGCGAACCGGGGGAACUGAAACAUCUAAGUACCCCGAGGAAAAGAAAUCAACCGAGAUUCCCCCAGUAGCGGCGAGCGAACGGGGAGCAGCCCAGAGCCUGAAUCAGUGUGUGUGUUAGUGGAAGCGUCUGGAAAGGCGCGCGAUACAGGGUGACAGCCCCGUACACAAAAAUGCACAUACUGUGAGCUCGAUGAGUAGGGCGGGACACGUGGUAUCCUGUCUGAAUAUGGGGGGACCAUCCUCCAAGGCUAAAUACUCCUGACUGACCGAUAGUGAACCAGUACCGUGAGGGAAAGGCGAAAAGAACCCCGGCGAGGGGAGUGAAAAAGAACCUGAAACCGUGUACGUACAAGCAGUGGGAGCCUCUUAAUGGGGUGACUGCGUACCUUUUGUAUAAUGGGUCAGCGACUUAUAUUCUGUAGCAAGGUUAACCGAAUAGGGGAGCCGAAGGGAAACCGAGUCUUAACUGGGCGUUAAGUUGCAGGGUAUAGACCCGAAACCCGGUGAUCUAGCCAUGGGCAGGUUGAAGGUUGGGUAACACUAACUGGAGGACCGAACCGACUAAUGUUGAAAAAUUAGCGGAUGACUUGUGGCUGGGGGUGAAAGGCCAAUCAAACCGGGAGAUAGCUGGUUCUCCCCGAAAGCUAUUUAGGUAGCGCCUCGUGAAUUCAUCUCCGGGGGUAGAGCACUGUUUCGGCAAGGGGGUCAUCCCGACUUACCAACCCGAUGCAAACUGCGAAUACCGGAGAAUGUUAUCACGGGAGACACACGGCGGGUGCUAACGUCCGUCGUGAAGAGGGAAACAACCCAGACCGCCAGCUAAGGUCCCAAAGUCAUGGUUAAGUGGGAAACGAUGUGGGAAGGCCCAGACAGCCAGGAUGUUGGCUUAGAAGCAGCCAUCAUUUAAAGAAAGCGUAAUAGCUCACUGGUCGAGUCGGCCUGCGCGGAAGAUGUAACGGGGCUAAACCAUGCACCGAAGCUGCGGCAGCGACACUAUGUGUUGUUGGGUAGGGGAGCGUUCUGUAAGCCUGUGAAGGUGUACUGUGAGGUAUGCUGGAGGUAUCAGAAGUGCGAAUGCUGACAUAAGUAACGAUAAAGCGGGUGAAAAGCCCGCUCGCCGGAAGACCAAGGGUUCCUGUCCAACGUUAAUCGGGGCAGGGUGAGUCGACCCCUAAGGCGAGGCCGAAAGGCGUAGUCGAUGGGAAACAGGUUAAUAUUCCUGUACUUGGUGUUACUGCGAAGGGGGGACGGAGAAGGCUAUGUUGGCCGGGCGACGGUUGUCCCGGUUUAAGCGUGUAGGCUGGUUUUCCAGGCAAAUCCGGAAAAUCAAGGCUGAGGCGUGAUGACGAGGCACUACGGUGCUGAAGCAACAAAUGCCCUGCUUCCAGGAAAAGCCUCUAAGCAUCAGGUAACAUCAAAUCGUACCCCAAACCGACACAGGUGGUCAGGUAGAGAAUACCAAGGCGCUUGAGAGAACUCGGGUGAAGGAACUAGGCAAAAUGGUGCCGUAACUUCGGGAGAAGGCACGCUGAUAUGUAGGUGAAGUCCCUCGCGGAUGGAGCUGAAAUCAGUCGAAGAUACCAGCUGGCUGCAACUGUUUAUUAAAAACACAGCACUGUGCAAACACGAAAGUGGACGUAUACGGUGUGACGCCUGCCCGGUGCCGGAAGGUUAAUUGAUGGGGUUAGCGGUAACGCGAAGCUCUUGAUCGAAGCCCCGGUAAACGGCGGCCGUAACUAUAACGGUCCUAAGGUAGCGAAAUUCCUUGUCGGGUAAGUUCCGACCUGCACGAAUGGCGUAAUGAUGGCCAGGCUGUCUCCACCCGAGACUCAGUGAAAUUGAACUCGCUGUGAAGAUGCAGUGUACCCGCGGCAAGACGGAAAGACCCCGUGAACCUUUACUAUAGCUUGACACUGAACAUUGAGCCUUGAUGUGUAGGAUAGGUGGGAGGCUUUGAAGUGUGGACGCCAGUCUGCAUGGAGCCGGCCUUGAAAUACCACCCUUUAAUGUUUGAUGUUCUAACGUUGGCCCCUGAUCGGGGUUGCGGACAGUGUCUGGUGGGUAGUUUGACUGGGGCGGUCUCCUCCUAAAGAGUAACGGAGGAGCACGAAGGUUGGCUAAUCCUGGUCGGACAUCAGGAGGUUAGUGCAAUGGCAUAAGCCAGCUUGACUGCGAGCGUGACGGCGCGAGCAGGUGCGAAAGCAGGUCAUAGUGAUCCGGUGGUUCUGAAUGGAAGGGCCAUCGCUCAACGGAUAAAAGGUACUCCGGGGAUAACAGGCUGAUACCGCCCAAGAGUUCAUAUCGACGGCGGUGUUUGGCACCUCGAUGUCGGCUCAUCACAUCCUGGGGCUGAAGUAGGUCCCAAGGGUAUGGCUGUUCGCCAUUUAAAGUGGUACGCGAGCUGGGUUUAGAACGUCGUGAGACAGUUCGGUCCCUAUCUGCCGUGGGCGCUGGAGAACUGAGGGGGGCUGCUCCUAGUACGAGAGGACCGGAGUGGACGCAUCACUGGUGUUCGGGUUGUCAUGCCAAUGGCACUGCCCGGUAGCUAAAUGCGGAAGAGAUAAGUGCUGAAAGCAUCUAAGCACGAAACUUGCCCCGAGAUGAGUUCUCCCUGACUCCUUGAGAGUCCUGAAGGAACGUUGAAGACGACGACGUUGAUAGGCCGGGUGUGUAAGCGCAGCGAUGCGUUGAGCUAACCGGUACUAAUGAACCGUGAGGCUUAACCUUACAACGCCGAAGAUGUUUUG
rnacentral:rRNA from 1 species